GGGAGUGAAAAAGAACCUGAAACCGUGUACGUACAAGCAGUGGGAGCCUCUUUAUGGGGUGACUGCGUACCUUUUGUAUAAUGGGUCAGCGACUUAUAUUCUGUAGCAAGGUUAACCGAAUAGGGGAGCCGAAGGGAAACCGAGUCUUAACUGGGCGUUAAGUUGCAGGGUAUAGACCCGAAACCCGGUGAUCUAGCCAUGGGCAGGUUGAAGGUUGGGUAACACUAACUGGAGGACCGAACCGACUAAUGUUGAAAAAUUAGCGGAUGACUUGUGGCUGGGGGUGAAAGGCCAAUCAAACCGGGAGAUAGCUGGUUCUCCCCGAAAGCUAUUUAGGUAGCGCCUCGUGAAUUCAUCUCCGGGGGUAGAGCACUGUUUCGGCAAGGGGGUCAUCCCGACUUACCAACCCGAUGCAAACUGCGAAUACCGGAGAAUGUUAUCACGGGAGACACACGGCGGGUGCUAACGUCCGUCGUGAAGAGGGAAACAACCCAGACCGCCAGCUAAGGUCCCAAAGUCAUGGUUAAGUGGGAAACGAUGUGGGAAGGCCCAGACAGCCAGGAUGUUGGCUUAGAAGCAGCCAUCAUUUAAAGAAAGCGUAAUAGCUCACUGGUCGAGUCGGCCUGCGCGGAAGAUGUAACGGGGCUAAACCAUGCACCGAAGCUGCGGCAGCGACACUAUGUGUUGUUGGGUAGGGGAGCGUUCUGUAAGCCUGCGAAG
rnacentral:rRNA from 1 species